UACGAAGGGUGCUAGCGUUGUUCGGAAUCACUGGGCGUAAAGCGCGCGUAGGUGGCUUUUCAAGUCAGGGGUGAAAUCCCACAGCUCAACUGUGGAACUGCCUUUGAAACUGUGAAGCUAGAGUGUCGGAGGGGAUAGCGGAAUUGCUAAUGUAGAGGUGAAAUUCGUAGAUAUUAGCAGGAACACCGGUGGCGAAGGCGGCUAUCUGGACGACAACUGACACUGAGGCGCGAAAGCGUGGGGAUCAAACAGG
rnacentral:rRNA from 1 species